rnacentral:rRNA from 1 species
GACGGGGGAUGCAAGUGUUAUCCGGAAUCACUGGGCGUAAAGCGUCUGCAGGUGGUUUCCUAAGUCCACUGUUAAACCUUGAGGCUCAACCUCAAAUCUGCAUUGGAAACUAGGAGACUUGAGUAUAGUAGGGGUAGAGGGAAUUUCCAGUGGAGCGGUGAAAUGCGUAGAUAUCGGAAGGAACGCCGGUGGCGAAAGCGGCACGCUGGACCCCUUCUGACGCUGAGGCGCGAAAGCCAGGGGAGCGAACGGG